AAUGAACGCUGGCGGCAGGCCUAAAACAUGCAAGUCGAGCGCCCUAGCAAUAGGGAGCGGCGCACGGGUGAGUAACACGUGGGAAUAUGCCCUUUUUGGUACGGAACAACCUCGGGAAACUGAGGCUAAUACCGUAUGGUCCCUUCGGGUAAAGAUUUAUCGCCAAAAGAGUAGCCCGCGUUGGAUUAGCUAGUUGGUAAGGUAACGGCUUACCAAGGCGACGAUCCAUAGCUGGUCUGAGAGGACGAUCAGCCACACUGGGACUGAGACACCGGCCCAGACUCCUACGGGGAGGCAGCAGUUAGGAAUAUUGGACAAUGGGCGCAAGCCUGAUCCAGCCAUGCCGCGUGAGUGAU
rnacentral:rRNA from 1 species